rnacentral:rRNA from 1 species
AUUGAACGCUGGCGGCAGGCCUAACACAUGCAAGUCGAGCGGAUGAAGGGAGCUUGCUCCUGGAGCCAGCGGCGGACGGGGGAGUAAUGCCUAGGAAUCUCCCUGGUAGUGGGGGAUAACGUCCGGAAACGGGCGCUAAUACCGCAUACGUCCUGAGGGAGAAAGUGGGGGAGCUUCGGACCUCACGCUAUCAGAGGAGCCUAGGUCGGAUUAGCUAGUUGGUGGGGUAAAGGCCUACCAAGGCGACGAUCCGUAACUGGUCUGAGAGGAUGGUCAGUCACCCGGGAACUUAGACACGGUCCAGAGGACUGCGAGACGCAGCAGUGGGCUAUGGGAGACAGUGGGCGAAAGUCUUGUCCAGUCGUGGGGAGUGUGAGACGGAGGUGCCCGGUGUGUAAAGCACGUCAUGUGGGGAGAAACCGCAGUAGGUUGAUACCUAGCUGGUUUGACGUUACCGACAGAAUAAGCACCGGCUAACUACGUG